UCUUUUGGUUUUGAAUCGAAUAUUGCUGAUGACUGUAUAUACCAUGAGUUCAGUGGGAGUAUUAUGUAUUUCUCCAAGAAAGUUUGUUCUGAAGUUAAAAUAAUUUCGGUACCUAAGGAUAAUUGGUGGGUAGGUUAUGCUGCUCACAAAAGGAUAUCUAUGCAGGGUUGCCUGAACUGCCGAAAACCAAAAGAUGGUGAAAGAUAC
rnacentral:lncRNA from 1 species